rnacentral:lncRNA from 1 species
CGGCAGGCGACUCCGGGACAGCGCCGGCGGCGGGGCAGCCGGGCUCGGGGCGCCGCGGCGGGAACCCUGCGCCCGGGGCUCCCCGCUUCCCGACCUGAGAGACUGAUCUAAAGAACCAGCAUGGAGAAAUGACUUCUAUGUCCUGCAUUUCCACGGAGGCCUCUGUUCUCACAGAUUUGCAGUUUGGUUGUCAUGGCUAGGAACUGUGUCUCUGUGGUGAUAGACC